rnacentral:rRNA from 1 species
GUCUCUCUUGAGUGGAUCCUGAGUACGACGGAGCACGUGAAAUUCCGUCGGAAUCUGGGAGGACCAUCUCCUAAGGCUAAAUACUCUCUAGUGACCGAUAGUGAACCAGUACCGUGAGGGAAAGGUGAAAAGCACCCCGGAAGGGGAGUGAAAUAGAACCUGAAACCGUGUGCUUACAAGUAGUCAGAGCCCGUUAAUGGGUGAUGGCGUGCCUUUUGUAGAAUGAACCGGCGAGUUACGAUUUGAUGCAAGGUUAAGCAGUAAAUGUGGAGCCGUAGCGAAAGCGAGUCUGAAUAGGGCGUUUAGUAUUUGGUCGUAGACCCGAAACCAGGUGAUCUACCCUUGGUCAGGUUGAAGUUCAGGUAACACUGAAUGGAGGACCGAACCGACUUACGUUGAAAAGUGAGCGGAUGAACUGAGGGUAGCGGAGAAAUUCCAAUCGAACCUGGAGAUAGCUGGUUCUCUCCGAAAUAGCUUUAGGGCUAGCCUCAAGUGAUGAUUAUUGGAGGUAGAGCACUGUUUGGACGAGGGGCCCCUCUCGGGUUACCGAAUUCAGACAAACUCCGAAUGCCAAUUAAUUUAACUUGGGAGUCAGAACAUGGGUGAUAAGGUCCGUGUUCGAAAGGGAAACAGCCCAGACCACCAGCUAAGGUCCCAAAAUAUAUGUUAAGUGGAAAAGGAUGUGGCGUUGCCCAGACAACUAGGAUGUUGGCUUAGAAGCAGCCAUCAUUUAAAGAGUGCGUAAUAGCUCACUAGUCGAGUGACACUGCGCCGAAAAUGUACCGGGGCUAAACAUAUUACCGAAGCUGUGGAUUGUCCUUUGGACAAUGGUAGGAGAGCGUUCUAAGGGCGUUGAAGCAUGAUCGUAAGGACAUGUGGAGCGCUUAGAAGUGAGAAUGCCGGUGUGAGUAGCGAAAGACGGGUGAGAAUCCCGUCCACCGAUUGACUAAGGUUUCCAGAGGAAGGCUCGUCCGCUCUGGGUUAGUCGGGUCCUAAGCUGAGGCCGACAGGCGUAGGCGAUGGAUAACAGGUUGAUAUUCCUGUACCACCUAUAAUCGUUUUAAUCGAUGGGGGGACGCAGUAGGAUAGGCGAAGCGUGCGAUUGGAUUGCACGUCUAAGCAGUAAGGCUGAGUAUUAGGCAAAUCCGGUACUCGUUAAGGCUGAGCAGUG